CGGCAGCACGGACUUCGGUCUGGUGGCGAGUGGCGAACGGGUGAGUAAUGUAUCGGAACGUGCCCAGCUCGUGGGGGAUAACGUAGUGAAAAUUACGCUAAUACCGCAUACGAUCUAUGGAUGAAAGCGGGGGAUCGCAAGACCUCGCGCGAUUGGAGCGGCCGAUAUCAGAUUAGGUAGUUGGUAGGGUAAAGGCCUACCAAGCCAACGAUCUGUAGCUGGUCUGAGAGGACGACCAGCCACACUGGAACUGAGACACGGUCCAGACUCCUACGGGAGGCAGCAGUGGGGAAUUUUGGACAAUGGGCGAAAGCCUGAUCCAGCCAUUCCGCGUGCAGGAUGAAGGCCCUCGGGUUGUAAACUGCUUUUGUACAGAACGAAAAGGUUUCUACUAAUACUAGGAGCUCAUGACGGUACUGUAAGAAUAAGCACCGGCUAACUACGUGCCAGCAGCCGCGGUAAUACGUAGGGUGCGAGCGUUAAUCGGAAUUACUGGGCGUAAAGCGUGCGCAGGCGGUUAUAUAAGUCAGAUGUGAAAUCCCCGGGCUCAACCUGGGAACUGCAUUUGAGACUGUAUAGCUAGAGUACGGCAGAGGGGGAUGGAAUUCCGCGUGUAGCAGUGAAAUGCGUAGAUAUGCGGAGGAACACCGAUGGCGAAGGCAAUCCCCUGGGCCUGUACUGACGCUCAUGCACGAAAGCGUGGGGAGCAAACAGGAUUAGAUACCCUGGUAGUCCACGCCCUAAACGAUGUCAACU
rnacentral:rRNA from 1 species